rnacentral:lncRNA from 1 species
GUUUGUGGCCUUUUUGUAUCUUCUUGUUCAUAACCACCCUGACUGCAGCAAGCAUGGGGUUAUUUUCAGUCCCUUGCAGUUUCUUUGUAUUCCGCUGCUCAAGGGAUAUUCGUCCCAGGUGCCAACUGCAGCAAAGAGUCCCAGGUGCCAGCCUGUCUCACGCCUGUCGCCAGGGGUCAUGACCGCAGAAGAACAGAGCUCAUCACCCACACCCCCUGGGUUAACCAGCCUUAGGAAAGGGACCAGAGGGAACCAGACACCCUGUAGAUGGAGUGACAUAACAGGAGCAUACCACAAAUUACUAGUGUGGACCUGUUACUGUCCACACUCGGCUCCCUCUCUUCUGGACCCUUUCCUACCAGGCCCCUUAUAGACAACGUCAAGAAAGCUACCAGAGGCAAAAUACUUAGAUAGCAGAACCAGAAGUUAUCUUGACUGAAAUUCUUUGUCUCCGGGUUUUACUCCUCUUGAACACUGCAUCCCUUGCCUUCUAGACCAGGGACAACGGUACAGUGUACAUCUGUUUGUUGUCCAUUUAAUUUUGAGUAUGCCCCGCCCCAGAUUUUUGCAUGUAUCCAGUACAUGAGACAUCUCCAAGUUGUAAUUAAGAGAAAUAAAUAUAGAGAAAUAAGAGUUUCAGUGUUUCCCCCUGCUGUCUUUUCCCUUUAAACAUAUAUGCUGCCUACUUGUACCUACUUGAACAACUUCUUCAACUGAAUUAAGCCCUGACUAUUCGGCACUGAAUGUGUUGAUGGUUGGCUAGUUAGUGGUCAUUUCUAGUCCAAUGUCCCAAUUGGUUACACGUGAAGAUACUACAUGGUCUCUCCAGCCUCCCUGAUGCGGUCACCAUUCUCCCAGCCUGGUCUGGGAACUUGAACUAAAAGUAAAAGGAACCCGAGUUCCUGUCAUGGCUCAGCAGUAAUGAACCUGAGUGGGAACUAUGAGAAUGCAGGUUUGAUCCCUGGCCUGCCUCAGUGGGUUAAGGAUCCGGCAUUGCUGUGAGCUGUGGUUUAUGUUGCAGACGCGGCUCAGAUCUGGCGUUGCUGUGGCUGUGGUGUAAGCCGACAGCUACAGCUCUGAUUAGACCCCUAGCCUGGGAACCUCCAUAUGCCACACAUCCCUGGAGCCUUCUUCUCUGCCUUAAGAGCCUUUCAGCCAGCACCUCCCACCUGCUCCAUCCUGUCUGUCCCCCAUCCCCAGUAAAUUCCCUCCCAGGCCAAUUCACUCUUGGGGGUGCGGAGCCAGCUGGAGGGAGCUGCCCAUCCAGCUGCGAACUGCGGGCACCCGGCCUGCCCCUCCGCUUCUCUCUGUCACUCACCGCUGGCCUCCUGUGACUCAUGCCUCUGACGUCCUCCGGAGGCAACAUGGGGCCAGCGCUGGCCAGCUGGCCUGCUGGCUCCACUGACUGUGUUUGGAGCCCAGUGAGCUCCCCUGCUGGUGUUGAAAGGUUAACGUGCCCCUCCUGGAGUAGAGCAGUCUGACCUUUCCCGUGCUGGCUCCCAGGCCCGCCCAGAACAGGCAGGCCAGCUGCCCCACCAUAUCCUGCCAUUGGCACACGAUGCCCACCUCUGCCCUCAGCAACCAGCAGCAGAGCCCAGCCAUCUGCAGCCCUCUUCUUUGGGGACAAUCCUCCCAGCUGCUGCCAAGCUCUGAGCAGAUUCCAGAGCUGCCUCCUCUCCCUGAAAUUCUCCUCGACCUUGAAGUUCACCUCGCGCUGCCCCCUACCCAUUGCACCUGCCAUCCAGUAUGUCAAGGCCCGUUCAUACAUUAUGAGUCAGUUACAUUAAAUCUUGAAACCAGACCAACUCCUUGGGAAGGGAAAGUCCGUGGCUCCUUUUUCCAUGUCCCAGACCAGGUCUGCCUGCUGGCUGGCCCUGCUCUGCUAGCUGGACAGGCCUCGUGAAGCCCAGCCCAGGUCUGAGUCCCGAGGCCCAGCCACUCCCCGCUUGUCCUCCCUGUGGCCUCAUCUGCCCUUUUCACAGCCAGGGAGCCUCUUUAGCCCACAGUUCCCCAUUUUUUAUUUUUCCUUUUUUCAGUUACCCUGCGGUAUAUGGAGUUCCCAGGCUGGGGAUCAGGGAUCAAAUCGGAGCCACAGUCACCACCCAAGCCACAACUGCAGCAACACUGGAUCCUUAACCCACCAUGCAGGGUCGGGAAUCAAACCUGCAUUGCAGCGCUCCCAGGACACCACCGAUCCCGUUGCAACACAGCGGGAACUCCCAAGAUUCCCCAUCUUCAAAUGAAGACAUAACCCCUGUUGAGCUACCCGCAUCUGGUGGCUGCAGGUGCCGGGGAGGGGAGGCGGAGAGCAGGAGUGCAGGCACUUUCAGCCACAGACCUGGUGAAGGCACAAAGAAUGCAGGUAUCUUGCUUCUCUGCCAGGCUGUGUGCAGCAGAGCCUGUUUUUGUUGAGUCAUUGCCCAGCCACCAAGCUGUUGAAUCUGUUGAAUGGACGUCUAAAAGGACAGCCGGGUGGGCCUUUGCUGUCCUUGGAAAGUAAGCACAAAGCUGCAUGACAGCUCAGCCCUCAGGCCAAGGCCCAUCCAUGGUGGUCAGUGUCCUAUCACCCUCAGGCCUCCCAGGGUCACGUGGCUGUCAUGCCCGCCCUGUGCUGGGACUUAAUACCGUUAUCACACUAGGCCAAUGACUGCCCUCCGAGGGGGUGGGGGUGCUCGGGGGGGCAGUGCUGUGGGCCCCACUUUCCACAUGGAGAAACUGAGACUUAGAGGAUGGAGUCACGUGCCCAGGGUGGCUGUGGUCCAGGUUUCCAGUGACAGCAUGGCUUUGCUCAGGGAGGGCCUGGCAGGCUGAGCUGGUAGCCAAGGACCUCAUCUUCACUCUGUCUACAGAAUCCCUUUGAAACAGGACAAAAUGCAGCCUGCCACAGCCUGACACUCACAGCACAGCCCUGAGCGCUGUUCACAGGGCCAAGGGCUGAUCAUGCGGAGGCACAUUGAAUCAUGUUUCAUCUUUGUCUGCCCCAUGCUUGAACCUAAAACAGGAAUGAGGGAGUUCCUGUUGUGGCUCAGCAGGUUAAGAACCCAACUGGUAUCCAUGAGGAUGCAGGGUCCAUUCAUGGCCCCACUCAGUGGGUUAAGGAUCCAGCGUUGCUGUGGCUGUGGUGCAGCCAGCAGCUGCAGUUCCAAUUUGACCCCUAGCCUGGGAAUCUCCAUGUGCUGCAGGUGCAGCCCCCUCCCCAAAAAAAUCUUUAUUUUUAAAUAUAUAGAAAAAUAAAAUGGGAAUGAACACACACCCACAAAGGAUUCUGCUGGGGGCUUGCAUUGUGGCGCCGACCUCAUGCAGUUCUCUCCAAGAAUGUCCUUCUAGGGAUUUCCUCCUGCAUCCGACACUUAAAAUAGAAGAUGACUAAAAACUUGAAAAGUGCUGUGGUCAUGCUUAGAUGGAUUUAUAUGAUGAGGAAAGGAGAGCUGAGCCAACAUGAUUUCCUAAGACUUAUAUUCUUAAAGAUUUUUUUUUUCCCUUCCAGCUGGCUAAAAAAAUACAAGCUCUUGACUAACAUUUCACAAUGAAGGCCAAAUUUUGCUCACAUACCUGCAGCAAUUCUGUGCCCCCAUGAGUCUUUAAAAUAUGAACUCUGCCCAUAGAUUGUCCCUUGGGGCACUCGACAUCUAUCGCCCCAAGUUCUUUGCCUGAGUCAAGUGAAGUGAAGCUUCUGGGUAGAGGAGACCACACAGGCUCUCUCUGGGUUUCAGAAGGGAUGCAGCAAAGGCUUAAUUUCCAAAGUAUACAGACAGCUCAUUCAUUCAACUCAGUAACGACAAAACAAAACAACCCCAUCAAAAAUGGGCAGAAGACCUAAAUAGCCAAUUCUCCAAAGAAGACAGGCAGAUGGGCCACAGGCACGUGAAAAGAUGCUCAACAUUGCUAAUCAGUGGAGAAAAGCAAAUCAAAACUACAAUGAGGUAACACUCACACCAGUCAGAAUGGUCAUCGUCAGAAAGUCUACAAACAAAUGCUGGGGAGGGUACGGAGAAAAGCGAACCCUUCCUCACUGUUGGUGCAGCCACUCUGGAAAACAAUAUGAGGUUCCUCAAAAAAACUAAAAAUAGGAGUUCCCAUAGGGGCUCAGGGGCAACAAGCCCUACUGGUAUCCAUAUGGAUGCAGGUUCCAUCCCUGGCAGCUGUAGCUCCAAUUUGACCCCUAGCCUGGGAACGUCCAUGUGCUGCAGUUGUGGCCCUAAAAAGACAAAAAAAAACAAAAAACAAAAAAAAAAGCAGAAACAAUGGAGUUGCCAUAUGAUCCAGCAAUCCCACUCCUGGGCAUAUAUCUGGAGAAAAUACUAAUUUGAAAAGAUACAUGCACCCCAGUGCUCAUAGGAACACUAUUUACAGUAGACAAGACACAAAAGCAACCUAAGUGUCCAUCCACAGAGGAGUGGAUAAAAAAAUGUGGUACAGGGAGUUCCCAUGGUGGCUCAGCAGAAAUGAAUCUGACUAGUAUCCAUGAGGAUGCAGGUUUGAUCCCUGGCCUUGCUCAGUGGGUUAAGGAUCCAGCAUUGCCGUGAGCAUGGUAUAGGUCACAGAUACAGCUGGGAUCUGGCAUAACUGAGGCUGUGGUGCAGGCUGGCAGCUGUAGCUCCGAUUCAACCCCUAGCCUGGGAACUUCCACAUGCCACAGGUGCGGC